rnacentral:lncRNA from 1 species
AUUUUCUCUUGCCACUGCCAUGUAAGAAGUACCUUUUGCCUCCCGCCAUGAUUCUGAGGCCUCCCCAGCCAUGUGGAACUGAGCUCCACCGAGCCCACGCCCACCUGGAACUCCCGCUGGCCCGCAAGAAUCGCGCGCAGCCCCGGUUCCCGCUAGCGCCCCUCCCUCCACACCUCGAGGCCGAGGUGGGCGGAUCAUAAGGCCUGUACAAAGGACAAGGAAAGCAUGGACUAACACAUCUCAGCUGUAAUUGAGUUUAGCCAGAUGUACCAGCUGUCUUCUCUCAUCUUCCCCUGGGGCUACAGCUUUUAUAGAGUGAUUGGAGUUUGCUUGAGUUCGUUUCCUUCAAGUCAUGGAUAAGAAAGCCAGGGUUUUGAGAGGUGAUGGAAGGCCUUUAUGUCAACAGAACAGAUGAAGAGAACUCAGAAUUACAAAAUUUGUUUCCAACUCCACUACACCCAUUUUUGGAAGAUCUGUUUUGAAUCCACGUUUCCAAGGAUGAUUUAGAAAAAGACAGCAAACUGAACAAAGCCCUGAGGAAAUAUUAACAAGUACAACCUUUCCCUGGAAGCAAUACACAUUUUCCUGGUGCCUGUUUAUUGUCACCUUUAUCUCCUUACUUGGGCUUGACAGCAAGUGGUGAACCAGGAUUUAUCUUGUUGAGGCUCAAAGCUUUAGUGGUGUUGUCAUUCGCCAGUAGCUCUGGUUCCUCUCAGCAAAAACAGUGGAAAACACUUUUAAUUGUAAAAUACAUUAUGUUUAACUUCCACUAAAAAAAAAAGAUGGUGA